ACUUGUCGCGGAUUCCCGCACACGUGGACCAGGAUGACUCACGUAAUUUACGAGCGAGGAAAGCUCCUCUUCCGGCAUUGAUCCUGGCCGUCUCUCCGCUCGGAAAGUUCGGGAUCCGCAAUGUGACUCAUAGCGACACACUGUUACGAGAUUCAUUUCAAGGUCAUCGAUCCGCCCACCGAACGCGACAUCGCAUGCACGAGACGGUUCUCUCGUGUGAAAAAAACCGGCAGGCGGAAAAAUGCGGGAUUUUACAAAAAUUACACGAGAAUAAUUUCAAAAAUGGUGAACGCACGCAGCUUGUGAGGUAAGACGCAGGUUAAAACUUAAAGGCGACCUAGAAACCGAGUGCAGCAGCAACAGGUGGCGGCAGGUAGGCGACUCAGGGGAUGGAGACGCGCGCGCGACCCGGUGACUCAUGGGGUUGCUCCGAGAAUGUUGAUCACUCUUCGCAAUCCCCGCCGUCUUUACCUGGAUGACUCACAUACCAGUCGACACACACACACGCGCGCGCGCGCACGCACACGUAUACGUUGCGCGCAUUCUUGGCGCUCAAGGAAAUAUGUGGACCUACUUUUUGUCGAACGCCCGCUCAUUCAGGACCUUUCUCCCUCUUCAAGGACCGCCGCUAAGAUUUUCAAUGGAAAUCCCCGUUGGUCUCCUUUCAUACAUUCUUUCGUGGAUCCUGUAACAUCGGAACUCUUUUACAUUCUUCGGUACUGUUAAAUUCAUCGUGUUAAAUUUCACCCAAUUUGAGUUAUUUUUAACCAUCCCUCGAUAUGUUAUUGUUAAUUUAACUAAAACAAUGGAGUUAAAUGGAGUUAAUUUAAAAAAUGUGUUAAAUUUGACUAAAAUUUAGUUUAUUAUUUACUAGGUGUAUAAGUUAAUGUAACCCUUUGACUUGAUAAAAAAUGUUUUUAAUUAUAUAUAUUUUCUGUUGAAAUAAUAAAUUUGAUACAUGUGGUAGUUAAACAAAUUUAAGUCAAGAAAUUGGUUUAAAUUGAAUCUUUUCGUAUUUAACAGUGUGUGAAAAUGUACAUGGAAACUUUCGGUUAGAACGAAAGAAUUCGGAUAAAUCAGCUGUUCGUACAUUGGAGAUUAAUUUUCCGUUCGAAAGCAAAUAUUUUAAUUUGGAUAAGAAAUAUCGAUAUCACUUUUUCUUGCAAAUUACAUCACAGAUUUGUUUUCAUCCAACGUUCAAUUUUUUGUGAACGUUGGAGUUUAUGUGCGAAUGUUUCGAUAGUAGAGUCAUGUAUAAAUCUGCAUACAGCUUAUACAGUUGCAACGAGCACUUCACGACAGAAGUAAUCGAAUGCACUUAUGCGACAAUUAUAUGCGCAGCUUUGUAUUGAUUAUACAUGAUACACGACUAUACACGAUUCAAUGGCUAGUAGUACAUUAAAGAAAAAAGUGAACAAUCGAUGAAAUCAUAGAAACUACGACUUAUCGAACAACGGAAUAACAUAUGCAUGUAUUAAAAUGCGUAAUUUUAUUCUUA